rnacentral:rRNA from 1 species
UACGUAGGGUGCAAGCGUUGUCCGGAAUUAUUGGGCGUAAAGAGCUCGUAGGCGGUUUGUCGCGUCUGCUGUGAAAACUCGGGGCUUAACCCCGGGCCUGCAGUGGGUACGGGCAGACUAGAGUGCGGAAGGGGCAACUGGAAUUCUUGGUGUAGCGGUGAAAUGCGUAGAUAUCAAGAGGAACACCUGCGGCGAAGGCGGGUUGCUGGGCCGACACUGACGCUGAUGCGCGAAAGCUAGGGGAGCGAACGGG